UCAUGGUCUCUCAUCAUGAUUCUUCCAUCAUGGACACUAAUAAACAUCUUUGAAGUUGCCAUGAAAGGUCUUCCAAGAAUCAUUGGAAUCCUCUCAUCAUUUUCCAUGCCCAUGACUAUGAAAUCAACCAAGAACUCUAGCUGUUCCACGCGCACAAUCACAUUCUCCACUAUACCAAGUGGUUCUUUUGUAGAACCAUCCGCCACCGUCACAAUAAGGUUUGACAGUUUUAAUACUAGCCCUCCA
rnacentral:lncRNA from 1 species